rnacentral:lncRNA from 1 species
CAAACAGCUUUUGUUCAGGAGUCCAAGAACCGAGUUCAGCCUGGAAAAAAAACAGCACAACUUCUUUCCUCACUUUCUAGCAGGAAGAAACACUACCUGCCUGGGCUGCUUUUUUCCCUUCCCUCCUCCUCCUCGGAGCGCAAACAAUGUUCUUUUGAUGCUUUCCUGCGAGUGGGAAUCUCGCCCUGGAGAAGGAGACAAAACUUUGGUACCUGUGAAACGAAGACUGCUUAGGUAGCAGUGGAAAUGAAAGCAAUUCCAUUUGCCACACGGGCUCCACAAAUGAGUAACUUCAGUGGGAUUUGCUCAUGCAAAAGAGAAAAGAUCACCUGGAUUCUUCUGGAGCUGGGAGUCAGGGCCAGAACUCUCCAGGAAAGCUGCCCAAGGAACAAGAAGAGGAUCUCACCUCUCCAGAGCUCCAUCCCACCUGGAGCUCCAGCCCGGUGCUGGUGGCAGACUGAGGGAGGAGGAAUAAACCCCAGCGUUUCAAAGCCACUCCGUGGAACACAGGGUACGUGGAUUUGUUCUCCAUGGUUUUCUUUAAUUAUCCUGCAAUUUCUGUGUUGUGCUU